GUCCUCGUAGAGCACGGCGCUCGCUCCCGCCCAAUGAGCACAGACGUCUUGAGCGGCAUAUGGGAGAGCGGUGGUUCGAAUCCAUCCGGGGACA